rnacentral:rRNA from 1 species
UGAGGAAUAUUGGUCAAUGGACGAGAGUCUGAACCAGCCAAGUAGCGUGCAGGAUGACGGCCCUAUGGGUUGUAAACUGCUUUUGUUUGGGAAUAAUCGACAUUACGUGUAAUGUUUUGCAUGUACCAUUCGAAUAAGGACCGGCUAAUUCCGUGCCAGCAGCCGCGGUAAUACGGAAGGUCCAGGCGUUAUCCGGAUUUAUUGGGUUUAAAGGGAGUGUAGGCGGUUGGUUAUGCGUGUUGUGAAAUGUAGAUGCUCAACAUCUGACUUGCAGCGCGAGCUGGCUGACUUGAGUACACACAACGUAGGCGGAAUUCAUGGUGUAGCGAUGAAAUGCUUAGAUAUCAUGGAGAACUCCGAUUGCGAAAGCAGCUUACGCGAGUGUUACUCACGCUUAAGCUCGAAGGUGCGGGUAUCGAACAGG